rnacentral:rRNA from 1 species
UAGGGAAUCUUCGGCAAUGGACGGAAGUCUGACCGAGCAACGCCGCGUGAGUGAAGAAGGUUUUCGGAUCGUAAAGCUCUGUUGUUAGAGAAGAACGUUGGUAGGAGUGGAAAAUCUACCAAGUGACGGUAACUAACCAGAAAGGGACGGCUAACUACGUGCCAGCAGCCGCGGUAAUACGUAGGUCCCGAGCGUUGUCCGGAUUUAUUGGGCGUAAAGCGAGCGCAGGCGGUUCUUUAAGUCUGAAGUUAAAGGCAGUGGCUUAACCAUUGUACGCUUUGGAAACGGGAGGACGUGAGUGCAGAAGGGGAGAGGGGAAUUCCAUGUGUAGCGGUGAAAUGCGUAGAUAUAUGGAGGAACACCGGUGGCGAAAGCGGCUCUCUGGUCUGUAACUGACGCUGAGGCUCGAAAGCGUGGGGAGCAAACAGG